rnacentral:misc_RNA from 1 species
CUGCCUGUGGAAAAGAUGGAUUAUUAUGUACCUGGCUAGUACCUGGAUCUUCAAUUUGUACAUAUGUAUGUAUUUAUACCUGAUUACAUGUAUAUAUUUGGUGCAUUCCAUUUUAUUUUGGCUUUUAAUGUUUUGCCUUCAUCUAUGAAUCGGAUGUGUAUGUCGAGUACCUGCUGAUGUAAAAUCAUGAUUGUUCAACCACGGACAGUGAAUACAUGAUC